CUAUUAAGCAGAGAACUACCCUUGAAACGGUUUGAAGUAACCAAACUUCCUCUGUCUGCUCCCCGGUCUGCGUCCAGCGCCUGGGCAGCGCUGGGGGUGGAGCUGGACAGGCGACUGCCAAGAAGAUAAGCAGACCCGUACCCUCUGGGAGGAAGCAGCCAGCUCUGACCUGCCCGGUCCUCAUCUGUGGCUACUGGACGGAUCCCUGGAGCACACGGUGACGUACUCGGACUCGAUCCCUCUCUCUUCGUUGUUGCAAAGAAAAAAUCCGGAGGCAGCCUGUGGUCAAAAUGCGUGGCACGGCAGUUCUGUAAAAUGGGGCAGGUGAAGGUGCUCUCUGAGCACCCCACCGGAGAAGGGUCUUGGUUCCGUCCGGCCGCUCCUGCCUGCCUCACCUCACAGCUCAGAGGCUUCGACCACGUGGGGUCUCGGCAGUCUUCCUGGGGCGCUCACCCGCACGCCGUGGUCAAGGCUCCCCUGUCUCUGCCCCUCUCCCCUGCUCCCCUCGCUGGGGUGUCUGACAGGCUCCGGAGGAGACGCCGCUGACUUGCCACCUCAAGCUGGGAAAUUGCCGUCUCUGCGUUGGGCUGGCAUGUAGUCAUCAGCAAAAAGCCAGUAGGACUUUGGCUGUUUGUGUCAGAUGAUUUGUUACAGCAAGAAUUAAUAUGUAGUUUCUUGUUCCUGUGGAUUUUUUUUUUUUUUACUAUGCAAGCAAAUAACACAGUAAUUUUUGUCCUUCUGCUGCAGUACAGGGGAAAUAAAAUAAUAAUAUAUUGUGUGCUAUUGCAUGUCAUGGGUGUCAAGAAACAAGUAAAAUAUUCGCUGUAAAAAUAAUUUUAAAUUUUUCUUAAGUUUCUUCUCAGGUAGAACAACCCUAUCUGUUUUCUGGCGCUGUUUUAAAGCAAGGGUUAGUGCGAUGCUCUGGGAAUGUCGACGUUUUACUGACCCCCAAUUUGUCAGUGCCAUGGCCUGGGGCUGCUGGGCUGCUCGGCCCUGGGCUCUGGACCCGGUAUAAACACUGGUGUGACCACUCCUGGUCUCAAGGCUGUCACUUAAACUUGUUCAUCGCCCCCGUGUAGCUCCCAGCUCCCACCUCUGAGCUGGUGGUGGGAGAAGGUCUCUCUGGGCUGACCCAGGCCACCAGCAGCCACCCCACCAGUGACCGGCGCCCGCCUGAGCAUCGCGUCGCCUGCGAGCGUGUCCCGGAGAGCACUGGCCCUUCUCCUCCCUCUGGCUCGGUGGAAGCUGCUGUGGGUCUGCUCACAAGGCACAGACGUGCCCCCAGUUCAUACCGGUAACACGGGAAAAGGCUAAAUGCUUAUCUUCUAGCGCUAGUUAACGAAUAACCAGAAGAAGCCAGGAUCAGCUGAGGGUCUGCUGGUCCAGCCUGUGACCAACACUCAUGACCGAUAGUUUAAACAUCUUUCUGUAUACGCAAGGAAUAAAGUUUGGAGGAAAAGCCUUGGGGAAAAGGCUGCUUAUUCUGCACUGAGAUAGGUCUUGUGGCUUUUAAUAUGGAAAUACAUAUAUCAGUAUAUUUACGUGCUCUUCCUGCUGCCUGCCUGGGAUGACUCUGCAAGUGGUAAGGACCAGCCAGCAAAUCUCAUGCUUCGAUCCCAGUCUAGGGCUUGGUGGCUUUUUGCUCCUCUUCCCCUCGCACCCACGAAGAGCUGCUGGGAGAUUCAAAGGAAAAACACAGGCUCUUGCGAGGGAAGUGCAAGGAAAAAAAGGCAGGAUGCAGCUUUUCCUUCAAAGGCACGUUGUGUGAGCUGGUGCCAGCAGGGAACUUCCACCCUGCAGGUAAGGGAGCGAGGGGUUCCACCUCCCUGGUUCCAGACCCCGUCGGGAGUCACCUCCCUGUGCUGAGUCCGAGCUCCCGCGUCCCUGGGACGGCGUGGGUGGACGAGGGGGAGGACUGGUACGAAGGAAAGGAGAAGAAACACGGAUUUUUCUUCGUUUUCCCUCCUAGGUGUGUUUUGUUUUGUUUCCUCAGUCUUAUGCUGAUGGCAACAUUUAACACUCGUACAUUAUAUUUCUGUGGAAUAUAUGAGCCGAGGCACAAAAGCUACUCAAAUUUGUCAGGCUGAGAACUUGAAAGCGUUCAGGAAAAUCCCUUGAAACCAUCCUGCACGUAAAUAUCUAGGCACUUGUUGCUUUGCUUUUACUUGGCCUGCACGGACUCUUCAGGCACAGCAAACUGGCAGAUCUCGAAGAUGUCAUUCCUUUUCCAGUGCUGCUGUUCGGGUCUGAAAAAAUUAAUUGGGCAAUUUCCCCAGUACCAGUUGCCACAAGCUUAUCAUCCCCGCAGUGGUGACAGCUGCAGAGGGCUGCUUGUCUCUGGGAUGUUCAGAUUCUGAGGU